CGCUCAUCCAGAGGGGCAGAGGGAUACGGCCCGAUGAAGCCCCGGCAACCCUCCAGCCGGUCUCGUUCACGCGAGGCUCCCGGCUAGGGAAGGUGCCAAAUCCGUCUCACGGCGAGAUGCGUCGUGAGGAAGAUGAGGA
rfam:Streptomyces caeruleatus strain NRRL B-24802 genomic scaffold PRJNA299234_s016, whole genome shotgun sequence.